UACGAAGGGGGCUAGCGUUGUUCGGAAUUACUGGGCGUAAAGCGCACGUAGGCGGAUAUUUAAGUCAGGGGUGAAAGUCCCAGAGCUCAACUCUGGAACUGCCUUUGAUACUGGGUAUCUUGAGUAUGGAAGAGGUAAGUGGAAUUGCGAGUGUAGAGGUGAAAUUCGUAGAUAUUCGCAGGAACACCAGUGGCGAAGGCGGCUUACUGGUCCAUAACUGACGCUGAGGUGCGAAAGCGUGGGGAGCAA
rnacentral:rRNA from 1 species